ACAACGAAAGUGGUUGGACCGUCCUUCUGCGACGACCGUGAUCCCGUAAAAUAAUCAGUCCAGUACUAGUGUCCGCAUCAACUCCCCCCGGGUAAGAAGAAGUUGACCCCGACGAAUGACUCUGAUAGUACUCCAGGAGAUCUAGGUCAAUGCGCUGGAACUCCUCACGUGUAAUACAUGUAGCAUCGGACUUCGGGCGUCCUCGCCAGCGAACCAAGAAACGCUGAACACCCCCAUCACUGUUAGAAACAGUCUGCUCAUCUAAAAUGGCUUCAAUAUGUUCUUUUUGUGCUGGUGGUAAGGGUAAAUGGGUCGGAGAUGGUGUGGAAUCAAGAA
rnacentral:lncRNA from 1 species